rnacentral:rRNA from 1 species
AUUGAACGCUGGCGGCAUGCCUUACACAUGCAAGUCGAACGGCAGCACGGGUGCUUGCACCUGGUGGCGAGUGGCGAACGGGUGAGUAAUACAUCGGAACGUACCUUAUCGUGGGGGAUAACGCAGCGAAAGCUGUGCUAAUACCGCAUACGCCCUGAGGGGGAAAGCGGGGGAUCGAAAGACCUCGCGCGAUUAGAGCGGCCGAUGCCUGAUUAGCUUGUUGGUGGGGUAAAAGCCCACCAAGGCGACGAUCAGUAGCUGGUCUGAGAGGACGAUCAGCCACACUGGGACUAAGACACGGCCCAGACUCCUACGGGAGGCAGCAGUGGGGAAUUGUGGACAAGGGGGGCAACCCUGAGCCAGCAAUGCCGCAUGAGUGAAGAAGGCCUUCGGGUUGUAAAGCUCUUUUGUCAGGGAAGAGACACCGGCUCUAACACAGUCCGGGAAUGACGGUACCUGAAGAAUAAGCACCGGCUAACUACGUGCCAGCAGCCGCCGUAA